AUGCGCAGCGCUGUUCUGAGUGGAACUGCAGAGAAAAUGGAUAUUAAAUGGGAAGGUUUUGCAGAAGGGAGACUCAAACCAAACAUCGCAUCAAGAUCUGACAGAGUCACUCGAUUCAACAGGACCUGGAUAUUAUGGACCUCUGAAUGUGCUGUCCAACCUGCUGAGUUUUUUCCAGUGUUUUCUGUUUCUAUCCCAGUUUCUGCAACCAAACCUUGUAAUUAAAAUCCCUCGAACCAUUCUGGCAAAUCUCCUCUGCACCUUCUCAAGGACCCUCACAUUCUUCAUAUUGUGUGGUGAUCCCUAGUUUGCAUAGACCCAGAUGUUCUGUGUUCCAUGUCUGUGACAUCAUCACACAUCGACAAUUACACUGUGACAUCAUCACACAUCAACAAUUACACGGUGACAUCACCCCGCUUCCUGGGUAUUUCCUCAACUGGGAGAUUUUUCUCUGGCUCCAGUGCUUCUGAUAUCUUUCCAGCUGCAGGCUGCAGCAGGUGAGCUUGAAAAUUGAAAACAGAAAUUGUUUCACAGUUGAGUAUUUUUGACCAUUCACCCACAACUUAGACC